rnacentral:rRNA from 1 species
AGAUUAAGCCAUGCAUGUCUAAGUAUAAGCAAUUAUACAGCGAAACUGCGAAUGGCUCAUUAUAUAAGUUAUCGUUUAUUUGAUAGUACCUUACUACUUGGAUAACCGUGGUAAUUCUAGAGCUAAUACAUGCUGAAAAUCCCGACUUCGGAAGGGAUGUAUUUAUUAGAUUAAAAACCAAUGCCCUCUGGGCUCCUUGGUGAUUCAUAAUAACUUUUCGAAUCGCACGGCCUUGCGCCGGCGAUGGUUCAUUCAAAUUUCUUCCCUAUCAACUUUCGAUGUUUGGGUAUUGGCCAAACAUGGUUGCAACGGGUAACGGAGGGUUAGGGCUCGACCCCGGAGAAGGAGCCUGAGAAACGGCUACUACAUCCAAGGAAGGCAGCAGGCGCGCAAAUUACCCAAUCCCGAUUCGGGGAGGUAGUGACAAUAAAUACUGAUACAGGGCUCUUUUGGGUCUUGUAAUUGGAAUGAGUACAAUUUAAAUCUCUUAACGAGGAACAAUUGGAGGGCAAGUCUGGUGCCAGCAGCCGCGGUAAUUCCAGCUCCAAUAGCGUAUAUAAAAGUUGUUGUGGUUAAAAAGCUCGUAGUUGAACCUUGGGCCUGGCUGGCCGGUCCGCCUCACCGCGUGUACUGGUCCGGCCGGGCCUUUCCCUCUGUGGAACCUCAUGCCCUUCACUGGGUGUGGCGGGGAAACAGGACUUUUACUUUGAAAAAAUUAGAGUGCUCCAGGCAGGCCUAUGCUCGAAUACAUUAGCAUGGAAUAAUAAAAUAGGACGUGUGGUUCUAUUUUGUUGGUUUCUAGGACCGCCGUAAUGAUUAAUAGGGACAGUCGGGGGCAUCAGUAUUCAAUUGUCAGAGGUGAAAUUCUUGGAUUUAUUGAAGACUAACUACUGCGAAAGCAUUUGCCAAGGAUGUUUUCAUUAAUCAUGAACGAAAGUUAGGGGAUCGAAGACGAUCAGAUACCGUCGUAGUCUUAACCAUAAACUAUGCCGACUAGGGAUCGGACGAUGUUAUUUUUUGACGCGUUCGGCACCUUACGAGAAAUCAAAGUGCUUGGGCUCCAGGGGGAGUAUGGUCGCAAGGCUGAAACUUAAAGAAAUUGACGGAAGGGCACCACCAGGGGUAAACCGCUUCAUGCAGCCGCAGUAGCUCUGCUCCCAAAAGCAGCCCGAAAGGGUCAGUGGUGUUCCUGCCGCGCUCCAGCGCGCGGCGAACUAAGUGCUAGUCUCCUCCGGAGGCAACACCCUCAAAUUGCGGGAAACUCCUAAAGCCAGUGUCACCAAGCCGGCGUCGAAAGGGCGCCGGUGGCCGGGGUAACGACCUAGGGUAUGGUAAAAGCACACUGGAUAAUGCAAUGGACAAUCCGCAGCCAAGCCUCGUCGCCGCAGGGCACGGGGAAGGUUCAGAGACUAAAUGGGGGUGGGUAGUGGCCUGGAGGAUCCGUCCUCCGAGCGCUGGCUCAUACACUGCUUAAGAUAUAGUCCGGCCGUGCUGGAAACAGCGCGGGUUGGCAAGCCCAAGUAAACGGGAGCCUGCGGCUUAAUUUGACUCAACACGGGGAAACUCACCAGGUCCAGACACAAUGAGGAUUGACAGAUUGAGAGCUCUUUCUUGAUUUUGUGGGUGGUGGUGCAUGGCCGUUCUUAGUUGGUGGAGUGAUUUGUCUGCUUAAUUGCGAUAACGAACGAGACCUUAACCUGCUAAAUAGCCUGUAUUGCUUUGGCAGUACGCCGGCUUCUUAGA